UAUUACACACGCACACGUCCGGGAAGAAACAACACACGGCAGUAUAGAGAACUCACUCGUGUUCGUGUACACUAACUAUAUAGCAAGAAAAGUGAAACAGAGCAAAAGAUACAACUGAGUAUCACAAACGAAAACAAAACUACAUACAUUCAGAUCACUAUUAAAGUCAAGUACCAGCUGCGCUUGUCUAACGAACUGAACUGGAUGACUCCAUCACCGUAUACAGAUAUUUUACAGUGCUGACGUGCUGCAUUUUUUUUUUGGGUUUUCCCAUUCUCUAACCUCUCUAGUCAUACUUAGAGGUCCGUUAGUUCACUCUUCUCUUUAUUUUGUGUUCUUUGGUAAACAACAAAACAGUUUCGUAACUUUAGCGAGAAUAAUACAAAAAGACUAGAUUGUUCUUUUCGGAUCCCUUGUUUGCUUUCUUAUAAAUAAAAUGCACACACACGCAUACAAAUAGUGUGUUAAUAAUUCUCCACUUGCUUCCUCUAGAAGACCAUAGAUUAACUCUACUCUACACCCUAAGACUUACUUACAUCAACCACUUGCUAGUAGCCACCCUACACUGCUUGCUACACACACAUAUUCAACAACUCUAACUAAAGGACUUAUUAGUUUACUUUAGUUAUCACAACCUCUUGUUGGACCUUAACGAAACAAACACAAAACACUACUUAUUCAUAUGGACCUUAUCAAAACCGAUGGCUCUCAAGUUGACUCACAAAAAAAACACAAACCCAUAUGGUUUGUUCUCCUCCUUUUGACUCCUCUCUUCUCCGACACUGACAACGUCUUCUUCUUCCUUUCUUCAUCUUCUGAUUCUUCACUGUUCCGUAUUUUCUUUGUUGCCCGGAUGAUCUUGGUUCGUCCUCCGAAUGCAGUGAUUUUAAAGCAUCGUCUCCUUCCUCCCCCCAGCUCCCCCUUGUCUGAAAUCAAAACUGAACAGAUGUUGUUGGUCAAUGCGGUCGGGCUUUCUCUGAUUGAUUAGUGAUUAAUGAUGAGUUGACGAAGAUGAUCGGUGUUAGCCUCAAACGACGUCGUCUAAAACAAUUCUGGGAAUUGGGCUUUUGGUGUUAGUUGGCCCACAACAUUAUUAUGUAGGGUCCAUUGGCAUUAGUUGAUGAGACGUCGUCGUUUUAUAGAGCCCCUUUUGUCUGAAAUCAAAACGGAAGAGAGGAGACUGAUAUCAUCUGAGGCAGCUGCUUUGGUGGUAUUUGAUAAAUAAAUUAGAGAUUUAUAAAGUUUGAGUUUUGGGGGAGAGUAUGCUGAGAAGCAGGAGGCAGCUUUAGAGAGAGUGAGUGAUGCAACAGAUUAUUGAGGAACACCACUCUCUCACCGUAGUUGAGAAGCUGGCACUGGCUUUUUGGGGGGUUUUGGAACAGUCGACCUUCGAAAUCAGAGUCUCUCCGAGAGCGUUACGGUGCUGGUGGUGUUCUAAUCACAUCACAUUCCUCUAAAUCUCGGUUUUUGUUAUCGAUCAAUGAUGGCUUUGAUGGAAGCGCUUCGUCUCCUCUGUUCUAACGUCUUCAGGGGUUUCGUUCUCACUCCUAACACUUCUUCUUAACCGAUCAUUGGGUUUUUGGAUGCUUCUCUUAGUGAUGGCUUUGAUGGACACGCUUCUUCUUCUUUGCUAACGUCUUCUAGGGUCUUUUGGAAGCAACCCAUGAUCCAAUCAUCACGUAUUCUCUAAUCCAUGCUAUUGUCUUCAAGCCUUCUCACAGAUCGUGGUGGUGGUCCAUGCACUGUGGGAUUGCUCUUGUUGAAUCUUAUCUCCUCGUCUUGGUACGUUUCUUCUAAUUGCUACAUCUUCUAAUGACUUUCUGAGAUUUGCUAUUGUGAGGUAUGAUUUGUUCGGUUUCCACAUUCAUAUGAUCAUUCAAUGUCUUUUUU